rnacentral:rRNA from 1 species
UGCGUAGGCGGGUCUUUAAGUCAGGGGUGAAAUCCUGGAGCUCAACUCCAGAACUGCCUUUGAUACUGAGGAUCUUGAGUUCGGGAGAGGUGAGUGGAACUGCGAGUGUAGAGGUGAAAUUCGUAGAUAUUCGCAAGAACACCAGUGGCGAAGGCGGCUCACUGGCCCGAUACUGACGCUGAGGCACGAAAGGCGUGGGAAGCAAACA